AUUGAACGCUGGCGGCAUGCCUUACACAUGCAAGUCGAACGGUAACAGGUCUUCGGAUGCUGACGAGUGGCGAACGGGUGAGUAAUACAUCGGAACGUGCCUAGUAGUGGGGGAUAACUACUCGAAAGAGUGGCUAAUACCGCAUGAGAUCUACGGAUGAAAGCAGGGGAUCGCAAGACCUUGUGCUACUAGAGCGGCCGAUGGCAGAUUAGGUAGUUGGUGGGAUAAAAGCUUACCAAGCCGACGAUCUGUAGCUGGUCUGAGAGGACGAUCAGCCACAAUGGGACUGAGAAACGGCCCAGACUACUACGGGAGGCAGCAGUGGGGAAUUUUGGACAAUGGGCGCAAGCCUGAUCCAGCAAUGCCGCGUGCAGGAUGAAGGCCUUCGGGUUGUAAACUGCUUUUGUACGGAACGAAAAGCCCUGGGUUAAUACCCUGGGGUCAUGACGGUACCGUAAGAAUAAGCACCGGCUAACUACGUGCCAGCCGCCGCCGUAAUAC
rnacentral:rRNA from 1 species